GAGCGCAUGAAUCUGCAAAUGAAGCAUGUAUUUGCUUAAGGACGGUUUUUAUUUUCCCUGCAUUCCCUCUAAUGUUUUGAAGUGCUCUCUCUUAAAUUAAAAGCGCAGAGAGUCACGGUGGCUAUUCGGCCUUCUCGCUCGAGAUUUAGCGCGCCUAAGUUCCGUUACCGAGCCCCCGAGUUCCCUGACUGUUUCACAGCUCUCCCCUUGAUGAACUCCUGGGUGACCUUGCUACAGCAUUGUAGGUAGGAUAUAAGGAAGAUUUUAAAUUCUAGCGGCACCAAAUGUUAAAGAACCGUGAGACGCCAUCAGCGCGUACACUGCUGUUCCCACACACCCACGUCGUGGCUCCUUGUGCCCUCACAAAGGAUGAUGGUAGGUAAGGCAGCCCCGCCCUGUGAGCAGAGUCAGUGCAGAGCCAGACUCCUCACCUGCUCUACGAGGAUGUCGCUCCUACUGAAGCUUAUCGAGUUGGCAGAGAAUCAGUGUCUCAGAUUCUGAAUAUAAAAUGAACCUGUCAAUACUUUAACAGUGAUUUACCAAUUUCACGUAACACCAAUAAAAUAGACCACGUGGAGGAAAAUAAUCCUACUCAGGUUUGCUCUUCCUCCUUCUCCACCGUCCUAGCCCGCCUUCCCAUUCUAGUGCAUUAAAGUAAGUUUGAAUUGGUUCCGUUUAGAACAUGAAAGUGCCGCAAAUAAGCAAACGCCAAGUUCAUACAACUGCCACACAAACUCAAUCACGGCCAAUGUCAGAGCGUGCAUCUGAGCUCUGUGCAUGAACAGAGCUUCCGGACUCUGCCCGUGUGUUCACACGCGUGUGUUUUAUUAACCAGAGAGGAACAAUUGGAUACCGCUGCUGCAGAGCACGGACUUUUCAUACAGUGGCCUCACUGUUUUCUAUGAUUGUUUUCAGAAAUAUACAUAGGUGUCCACUGUUUAUUUCAUGGUAGACUGAAAUAAUUUUCUAGUUUUGAGCAUUGCAUUGUUGGAAAAACCCAGCUAUUCUGGUUAACAGUCAAACAAAUGUCCCAUUUGUUGAAUCUCUGUGAUUAUUCUUAAAUAAAUUUGUGUAAGUAGACUUACAUACUUUAUAGACAAAGAAAAUGAAAACCAACAAGGCCUUCAACUGUGUGUUGUCAAACCCUUCCAAGGAGGCAGAGUCACACAAAGCCCCAGUGACAUAUGCCAGUCCCUGGAUGCUCCUGUCUCAAAGAUCUUGAUAAUUCGUCCGUUUUCCAGAUUCAAACCACGAUGAUACGAAAGGAUCCUAAAGCUUCCCAUGUGAACUUGUUCUGUCUUAAGUGACUCCCCUAUCGCUGUAUAGUGACUUGACUCACACGUGACUCCUAGAUACUCAACUCAGAAAAUGAAGAAGUAUUACAUGGCACGGCUGCCGAUCAACGCAUACAAGAGGACUCAAGUCCAUCUGUGAGGGAAGAACAAGGUCCAGCAAUGAGAAGAGAAUCUCCCUUCAUUAGGAGUUGACUGAAAACUGAGGUUGGAGAUCGGAACUGAGUGCUCCGGUUUCUAGCAGGCAUUUUAUUGACUGAGCCAUCUCCUAAGUGCCCCGCCUCCUUCUCUGCCACCACACUGAAGAUUCGAAGACAUGCUUUGAGUUGGGGAUUCAAGAAUUGGACCCACAGAAAUUGCUCUCCAAAGUACAGAAAAAUGAUCUCAACGAGACACAUGUGUUUUUGCUUCCAGUUGCCACCCUCGAGGUCACAGACUUUUAGAGUCCUAAUGAGUCCCUUUUAGGGCAAAGAGAACUAUGGACGCACCCAGGGAAUCCAGCCCCUGAGGACUGCGGUUGUUUCCUCAUCUCUGUUCAUCUGUUUGUUUAUUAAUUUCUAAAACCUUCUGAAAUACAUAGUGAGAGGCCAUAACUAGAAUUCCCUCAACAUAACCAAAAAUUCAACGAGAUUAAUGUCCUAACCGUAUUUAUUCGUAGAGAAUGGCCAUGCCCUCUUCUUCAUUUGUGUUUGGGCUGGAGGCUGAUGCUUACUCGCAAAACAAAAGGCUAUUAAAUUACUGUAACAUAGAUGAUGUCUUUGCUGACCAAAGACAUCAUGCCUUUGUGUCCAAAGGUCUAUGGUCAGAUGGAGAGUCAGCCACAACAGACUUAAGGGCCUGCUUAUACUCUACUCAUCAAAUAACUGAAAAGUAUAAGACAGCAAAAUACACAUUUUUGAGCCAAUCAUUUAGUAUCCUUACCUUGCCAAAAUGAUUCAUUAAGAAAGGUUUUCAAAGCCUUCCCCAUGCUCUUCCAAAUUUUCCUCUAAAAUAUGUGUCAUUUGGGAUCUCAUGCUAAGGAAGGUUCCGGGGUUUACCUUUGGAAACUCAAAGCACUCUAACUGAGAAGUAAGUCCGACCUAGGGAAGGACUUGGAGGAGGCAAUGGUCUCCUUGGAUGUCUUUGUCUCUGUAGAACUUGGGUUACUCCUGGUUCUUGUGAGAACUUACAGAGCUGAACGGCACAUAAGCAGAAAGCUCAAGGUCCCGCCGCUGGCCUUAUUCUGGUGCUGUGAACGGAGCCCUGUUCAGAGAGACAUCAUAAAAGUCUUCAGGAUUGAUGCGUGGAAAAUGCAAAGUAUGUCCAUCUUGGAAAUGGAGGGAUGGAGUCCAUCGUGAUGCAGACGGUCAGCAGCAGGAGGAGGAAGAUGGCUAUCGCAUUUCCUAGGCACACAGGAAGCAGACAGCCACAGAGAGAAUGGGAAGUGAAGCCAGGCUAAAAGCUAACCCCAAAGCUAACCCCAGUGAUGCACCCCUUUAGCAAGGCUCCACCUCCUAAAGGCUUCACAACCUCUCCAAACAGCACCAACAUCCAAGGACCUCACAAGGACAUUUCUCAUUCAAGAAACAACAAGGCCCUUCAACGCAUGUUUUUGUGUUGUUUUUGUAAACCCACCUGCCCAUAUCUAAAUAAGUUUCUGGCCUUAUAUCCCAUUAUUUCUCAAUUCCUCAAUAGCUAUUCUCUACAGAUAGUGUGGUAGUUGGAAUAUGCUGGGCCCAUGGGAAGUGGCACUAUUACGAGGUGUGGCCUCGUUGGAAGAAGUGUCUCUGUGUAGGAGGGCUUUGAGGUUUCCUAGUCCUCAAAUUCUGCCCAGUGCAGAGUGGAGGACAAUCUCCUCCUGGCUGCCUUCUAAUCGGGUGUAGAAAGCUCCUUCUCCAGCACCAUGUCUGCCCGGAUGCUCCCACCAUGAGGAUAAUGGACUGAACCUCUAAAACUGUAAGCCAACCCCAAUAAAAUGUUUUCAUUCAUAGGA